rnacentral:rRNA from 1 species
AUUACCGCGGCUGCUGGCACGGAGUUAGCCGGGGCUUAUUCCCCAGAUACUGUCAUUAUCAUCUCUGGUAAAAGAGCUUUACAACCCUAAGGCCUUCAUCACUCACGCGGCAUUGCUGGAUCAGGGUUGCCCCCAUUGUCCAAUAUUCCCUACUGCUGCCUCCCGUAGG